rnacentral:rRNA from 1 species
CAACGCUACAAAGGGCGUACGGUGGAUGCCUGGGCGUCACGUGCCGAUGAAGGACGCGGUACACUGCGAUAAGCUCCGACCAGUCGUGUGCAGACGUGAUGAGCCGGAGAUGUCCGAAUGGGGAAACCCAGCAGGGGUUAUACCUUGCUACGCCGAGAGGCGAGGGAACCGGGGGAACUGAAACAUCUCAGUACCCCGAGGAAAAGAAAGGAUUCCGCGAGUAGUGGCGAGCGAAAGCGGAGCAGCCCAAACCGUUUGCUUUGCAAGCGGUGUUGUAGGCCUGCCAUUUAGCGUUGGGGUCUCAAGUAGAACCGUCUGGGAAGGCGGACCAGAGAGGGUGACAGUCCCGUACAUACAAGGACACCAACGCGAGGCAUGAGCCUGAGUACCACAGGGCACGCUAACCCGGUGGGAAGCAGGGUCGCCCACGACCCAAGGCUAAAUACACGUGACGACCGAUAGCGCAACAGUACAGUGAUGGAAAGGUGAAAAGAACCCCGGCGAGGGGAGUGAAACAGAAUCUGAAACCGUAUGCUUACAACCGGUCAGAGCACCCUUCGGGGUGUGAUGGCGUGCCUUUUGGAGAAUGAGCCAGCGAGUUAAUCUCUGUGGCAAGCUUAAGGGAGCGACACCCGGAGGCGCAGCGAAAGCGAGUCUGAAUAGGGCGCCAAGUCGCAGGGAUUAGACACGAAACCAUGUGAGCUACCCAUGGGCAGGGUGAAAGUCCGGUAACACGGACGGGAAGCCCGAACUCACCAGUGUUGCAAAACUGGGGGAUGACCUGUGGGUAGGGGUGAAAUGCCAAACGAACGUGGAGAUAGCUUGUUCUCCCCGAAAUCGCUUGAGGGCGAGCGUCGCGCGAUGACGGCAGGAGGUAGAGCACUGGAUGGGCUAGGGGCCGUUAAGGUUACCGAACCCAACCAAACUUCGAAUGCCUGUCGGGAAGCGCGGCAGUUGGACUCCGGGAGAUGAGUUUCGGGGUCGAGAGGGAAACAGCCCAGACCCGCGGCUAAGGUCCUGAAGUGACUGCUGAGUGGGAAACGAUGUGGUCGUGUUGAGACAGCCAGGAGGUUGGCUUAGAAGCAGCCACCCUUGAAAGAGUGCGUAACAGCUCACUGGUCGAACGCGACUGCGCGGAAAAUGUAACGGGGCUCAAGCAGACCACCGAAGCCGGGGACUUCUCGGAAACGAGAAAGUGGUAGGGGAGCGUUCUGCGUGCGGUGAAGGCGGCGUGGCAAACGUCGUUGGAGCGCGCAGAAGUGAGAAUGCUGGCAUGAGUAGCGCAUAGGCAGGUGAGAACCCUGCCCGCCGAAGGUCUAAGGGUUCCGACGGAAGGUCAGUCCGCGUCGGGUUAGUCGGGCCUAAGCCGAGGCUGGAAAGCGUAGGCGAUGGACAACUGGUUAAUAAUCCAGUACUGGUAUGGGGAGUGCCCAGGUGCGUCCGAGGAAAGCUCAGCCCCUGAGUGGAUGGGGGUGGUAAGGGGUUAAUGACCCUGAUGCCGUGCCGCAAGGCAGGAAGUGAGUGGCACCCCGGGCCAAGAAAAGCCUGCCAGCAUGAUGAACCAUGCCAACCGUACCUCAAACCGACACAGGUAGACGAGUAGAAGAUACUCAGGCGAACGGGAGAACGCGCGUUAAGGAACUCGGCAAAAUGGCCCCGUAACUUCGGGAGAAGGGGCGCCCCCUGCAAGGGGGGUCGCAGUGAAAGGGCUCUAUCGACUGUUUACCAAAAACACAGGUCUCUGCCAACGCGAAAGCGGACGUAUAGGGGCUGACGCCUGCCCAGUGCCGGAAGGUUAAGAGGAGGGGUGAGAAGCUCCGAAUUGAAGCCCCGGUGAACGGCGGCCGUAACUAUAACGGUCCUAAGGUAGCGAAAUUCCUUGUCGGGUAAG